ACAAACCAUUUCCCCCAAAAAUCUCCCCCCUUUCUCUUUCCUCAAAAAUCUCCCCCCAUUUCUGGCGUGGAUUUCCCCCCAUUUCCAGCCGAUUUUCCCCCAUUUUCGGCGCCGACCACCCCCUCCCACACUGCCCUUCUCCGACCAGCUCUCCCUCUCUCUCUCUCCCCCGCCGACGCACGAUCUCUACCUGUCUCCACCAUCCCACUCCCCCGCCGACCAAGCUCCGGCCCACCAAUCAGAUUGGUAUGUCGGUAAAUAGUGGUGCGUCAAGUGCACGUCCGUUGGGGGGAGAAAAUUUGGGGGGAAAUUUUGGGCUUAGUGAUUCAGUAUCCCGAGCUGUCGUUUCCCAAAUUAUCAAAUUUCAUUAAAUUUGUCAGUGCCACGCUGGAAAGAGACGGACGUGAAACGGACAAAAGGCUCACGAAUAGCAUUUCUCAUAAGCCACUGCUCCUACAUUUGUUUAUGUUUAUGAAACGACUUGUAGCAUAGAUGUCGUUGCCGCAAACUUUUUUAGCCUGCUACAACGUUUGAUGCGUUGUUUCAUAGAAAAGGCAUUAUUUGGACAAAUAUUUCCACUUUUUUAUGUAAUCCAAUAAUAUGUAUAAUUGGCUAGAAACAAUUGAGUUUAUUCGAUUGAAAAAGUUUAGAAGUAAAAGCUAGGGAGAAUGUGGUUCCCUCCUCUCUAUUUUUUCACUUACAAAUGGAGAUUCAUUUCACAAUUUAUAUUUUAUUUUGUUGUA